GGCUGGGGCUUCUUGACUCUAAACCUACAAUGUGCCCUUAGAUAAGUUGCUCUGACCUGCGUGUGUGUGCCUAGUUGCUUCAGUCAGGUCUGACUCUCAGCGACUGUAGCCCACCAAGCUCCUCUGUCCAUGGGAUUCUCCAGGCAAGAAUAUUGAAGUGGGUUGUCAUGCCCUCCUAUUGAGUCUUAGUUCUUCAGGUCUGUAAAUGGGGCAGGGGGUUGAAGAAAUAGGCCAUAUUUUGGCCUAUUUUGGAUUGACUGACAUUGUAUAAGUAAAAAGUACACAGGAGAGUGUUUUUCACAAAGUUGCUGAUGUGGAAAUAUUAAUCUCCCAACGCCACUGUCUCUGCUACUUUGUCCAUUGGGUGCAACACGGAGCAGGAAGUACCUAGCUGAGGAUGCUGUUUCUCCAUCAUACUCACAACCACCCCAGCUACAGUAAAAAGUACUAGGCAGAUGUUAAAUGAAUCCUGGGAGGAGUAAGGGAUGAUGAAAAGGAUGAAGGAGAGGAUGCUGAUCCAUCGAAGACCUAAAACACAGCCUGAUUCCAGACGAAAGGACAAGCUCUUCAAACCCAAGUGGAGGAAUUCAGUAGCGGUCCCCUACUUGAGGAGUUUAGGAGAAAAAAAAAAUAAAGUAAUAUACCAUAACUGUAGCCCAAACAAGGAGAAAUAGAGGUCUAUGUGAAGAGCAGAAGUUCUAAGUGUUUAACGGCCAAUGGGUGUCUUGGAGAUCUUUGCGCUCAACAGCCCAUAAGUGUGGGGCUGUAAGUACACCUUUUGCUGUGAGUACAGCUAUCCAUGUGGGAUUCCAGAAAGGAGGCCUGGAGACACCUGGCCCCCUCCACUCCCCAAAAGAUGACUUCCUGUGGUUGUUACCAAUCGUGUCAACAAGGAAACGGGCUCCUAUGAAGCGUCCUUAAUCUGGGAGGAGGCUGGUGUGAAGGAAGUCAGCAACGCUGCCUCCAUUCAUUCUGGAGUUUGCACCAGGAUGACUGAAGGAUCGAGAACAACAAGUCAACCAGUGGGAGCAGAUGCUGUGCCCUGAGCUGUAGCUUCCACCCCCACUUGGAUGCUUGGCCACCUCCCCUCAGCAUUGCCCCACCGGCUGACAUCACCACUUUCUCUCCUAAAUCCCAUUCUCUCCAGACCUUGGGCCAAGGUCUCAGUCCACACCUUUUCUACUUCGACAGGUACCUCUCUUUCUUUACCUAACCACAGGCUCAGUGUGGGAGGAUAAUCUUCCAGCUCAUCCACGGUUAAAUCUCCCUGCUUACCACCUUCUCUUCCAUCCAUGUAGCAGAAUGAGGGUAAGCAGAGGGCUAAGUUGGUGCUAGAACGCACAGAGGCUUGGCCACUGGAUCACCUGUUGUGAAGCAAUGAGCUUGCCUCAGGUGCGACCACCCACUCUUUCUUCCACAUUGGUUACAGAUGACAAGGCGACCCAGGUUGAAAAUGGACCUCAAGAUCUUUGAACCCAGAUGAAAAGACAGAUAGCAACUCUUUCUCUUAAAAUUUGCAAACAGGUCUGUGCUUCCUACCAGGUGGAUGCCAGACUUUGAUGAAGACUGUUCUUUUCUUCUGGGAAAACCACCCCAAGGACCUUUGUAUAUGCAAAUGCAGAUCAAAGACUCUCUUCUGGAAUGGAUUUAAACUGCUGUGAAUAACAGUGUGGAAGGUUCUGUUCCUAGGGGACAGAGCUGCAUUUCUGUGGGUACCUUCCCUUUGAAAAGAACACUUCUUUCCCAAGUCCAGAUUAAGACAAAGGACCUUCGCUUGAAAGUUGAAAAUUAUUGCUAGUUUUAGAAGAGAUGGUGCAUGUGUGUGCCAUUUUGUGUGUGUGCAAAUAUUGGCCUUUGGAAAAUUAA